UACGUAGGGGGCGAGCGUUGUCCGGAGUUACUGGGCGUAAAGGGCAUGCAGGCGGUCAGGCGCGUUUUUGUGUGACAGCGGAUGGCUUAACUAUCCGAGGAUACGAGAUACGGCGUGACUUGAGAGCGCGAGAGGGACACGGAAUUCCGGGUAGAGUGGUGAAAUGCGUAGAGAUCCGGAGGAACACCGAAGGCGAAGGCAGUGUCCUGGCGCGUAUCUGACGCUGAGGUGCGAAAGCCAGGGGAGCGAACGGG
rnacentral:rRNA from 1 species